rnacentral:lncRNA from 1 species
AUGCAACCUCACAUUUCUGUUUUUGGAAAAAAAAUGCAAAAGGUGUGGAAAGCAAUCCUCAUGCUAUAUAUACAUGUCCCUUGAGCUUAGAAAUGGAUCCUUCUUGCCCAAGCUUUGACCUGCUUCUUACCUAACCUCCAUUAAAGGUAAAUCUUGAGGAUUUCUUCUUGAAAUCGAGUUUCAAUUCUAAUUCUGUUUUGGA